GGGUCAGUAGGUUGGUCGUGCCACCGGUACGUACUGGUCUCACUGAUUCCUCCUUCCUGAAGAACCGUAGUGCCAUUAAUUUGGUGUUGCGGGGAAGCAGGACUGUUACUUUGAAAAAAUUAGAGUGUUUAAAGCAAGCUAACGCUUGAAUACAUUAGCAUGGAAUAAUGAAAUAGGACGAUCGAUCCUAUUUUGUUGGUUUCUAGGAUUGACGUA
rnacentral:rRNA from 1 species